AAAGCAUUAGGGGAGCCCACGGCUACAAAAACAAGUGAGUGAGAAGAGGUGGGAGGAAGAGAAACUACGCCACCUCCCCUGCAGCCGAGUGCACGCAGCAGCCUGGCGUGACAAGUGGGCGACGCCGGGGGGCAGGGAGCCAGGGUCCUUGGCCCUGGACGGGGACCCCACCGCCCACCGCGCGGAGGACAACUUUUAGCCGGCAGCCCCGGCCAGCGCGGCACCUGUCUCCGGAGUCUCCACCGCUCCUCCCGAUCCAUCCCAAGGAAAUUCUCAAGAAUACGCUCUACAAAUCUACGUGCGCAUCGUUUUCCCCUCGCGUCGCGCCCGGGAGGAAGGAACCAGGCAAGGAGCUAAAGCAGCGUGCGUUCAGCCCUGGGGAGAAAAAUCAAGACGCUCCCCUCAGUCCUCCCUCGGUGUUAACGUCUGCUCCAGCUCGCAGCCCGCUGCUGGGCAUUUUAUUAAUGCUUUUACGAGUUAGAAGAGUUGGGAUAAUUUGCCAUCUGGAGUUUCUCUGCCUUGCUGAUCUGAGCUCAGACAUGCCAAUUUACCAGAGAUGAUUGAU
rnacentral:antisense_RNA from 1 species